UUACGCUGUUAUCCCUAAGGUAAUUUAAUCUUUUAAUCACUAAAAAUGGAUCAAAAAAAUAUUAAUCUAUAAUCAACUAAUAUAAAGAGUUAAUUAUAUCUUCACAUCACCCCAACGAAAUACUUAAUUUACUCCACAAAACAUCAAAUAAUAUAAAAUAUAUUAAAUAUUAAACUCUAUAGGGUCUUCUCGUCCCAAAAAAAAAUUUGAGCUUUUUAACACAAUAAUUAAAUUCAAACCCAUAAAUUUAAGAAAGUUAUUAUCUCGUCCAACCAUUCAUUCCAGCCUACAAUUAAAAGACUAAUGAUUAUGCUACCUUUGCACGGUCAGUAUACCGCGGCCAUUUAAAUAUUCAUUGAGCAGGUUAUACCUCAUAUUCAAAUACAAGAAGAGAUGUUUUUGUUAAACAGGCG
rnacentral:rRNA from 1 species